rnacentral:rRNA from 1 species
ACGAACGCUGGCGGCGUGCUUAACACAUGCAAGUCGAACGAGAGCGUAGAGAAAGCUUGCUUUUUCUACAAUCUAGUGGCAAACGGGUGAGUAACGCGUAAACAACCUGCCCUACGGAUGGGGACAACAGCUGGAAACGGCUGCUAAUACCGAAUACGUUCCGAAAGUCGCAUGACUAUCGGAAGAAAGGAUGGCCUCUAUUUAUAAGCUAUCGCCGGAGGAGGGGUUUGCGUCUGAUUAGCUAGUUGGAGGGGUAACGGCCCACCAAGGCGACGAUCAGUAGCCGGUCUGAGAGGAUGAACGGCCACAUUGGAACUGAGACACGGUCCAGACUCCUACGGGAGGCAGCAGUGGGGAAUCUUCCGCAAUGGGCGAAAGCCUGACGGAGCAACGCCGCGUGAGUGAAGACGGCCUUCGGGUUGUAAAGCUCUGUUAUACGGGACGAAUAAUCUUGUGGUUAAUACCCAUGAGAAGUGACGGUACCGUAAGAGAAAGCCACGGCUAACUACGUG